GCUGAAUCUGCUCUAAAUAAAGAGAAUUUUAAACAACAACAAAACUUUUCCUGUCUUUAGCCGGGGAAGAGUCCGAAAGUCUUAGACGGCUGGAAACUGAGAGCUCUUGAGAGGUUAUCUCAUCCUUCUCUUGGGGCACCCCUAGGUUAUUAGGACUUUGACAACAAUAAUUUUGGACAAGACACUAAUCCUCUGGAGAUCUCAAUGGAUGAGAUGAGACCAGCCUGUGUUUACCAAUCUUGUCCACAUACAGCACACACAGAAUAUGGCACUGGUAGGGCACUGAGGUAUGACUCGGCAGCACAGUGCAGGACCCCUGGAGGCCACAGGCCGCCCUGCGUCCGGCACGCAGGUGCAGACUCUCGCAAUGAGCUCUCCAUCCCGCAGGUUCGUUCCAGCUGACACGCCACAGCCGUCUUACAGAGAACGAACUGGGGCUCCCGCUGUUUUUGAAGUCAGAGGCCUUUACCUCCUUUUAAAACAAGAAAGUCUUUAUUCAUUAUGAAAACCAAAGAGUAAAAAGGCACACAGGCCGCAAGCCAAGUAAAUACUCCGAAAUCAAAGCACUCGCCCAGCGCACUGUCCGCGAAUCUUACGUCUCUUCCCAGCAGGCUCCGGGAGUCACCGCGAGACUUCACCAAUUCUCGCGAGAUUUAUCGGCAGCCAUCUUCUUGGGGGUGCUGGGAGCUGGGAAGACCCCCCGAAUCGUCCCCAUUGAGCUGCCCUCGGUCUUCGCUUUCCUUACUUUUGCCUUUUCUGCGUUACCAACAAGCACCUAGUCCCGAGGCUGAGGGAAAGCCCUGGUCUAAGUGCGUGUCGCGCUCCGGGUCUCGGAAGAUUCUCUAGCGAGGAGGGAAAGGGGAGGGCCCGGGCAAACCGUUGCUGCCUUAGCCCGGGCCGGGGUCCGGGGAGCGGGAGCUCCUGGCACCCCGUGGAGUCGCGGCCUGCGGCGGUCUCCAGGGAGCUGUUUGCAGACGGGGGCUCGCGGGAACCUGCCACCAGCGCCUCCCACCGCGGCCCACGCGGGCGGCGCGCGAAGGAGGGGGCGGGGGCAGCGGCGGCUAUAGCGGCCGCGACCUGGGCGGGCGGAGGAGUGUGACGGGCCUUGGGGCCGCUGUGGAUGGUUUCUAAAAUGAUAAUUGAAAACUUCGAGGCACUCAAGUCCUGGCUCAGCAAGACUCUCGAGCCCAUCUGUGAUGCAGAUCCAUCAGCCCUAGCAAAAUAUGUUCUGGCUUUGGUAAAGAAAGACAAAAGUGAGAAAGAGUUAAAGGCAUUAUGUAUUGAUCAGCUGGAUGUAUUUCUUCAGAAAGAGACACAGAUAUUUGUGGAAAAACUUUUUGAUGCUGUGAAUACAAAGAGUUAUCUACCUCCUCCAGAGCAGCCAUCAUCAGGAAGCCUGAAGGUAGAAUUUUUUCAGCACCAAGAAAAAGAUAUAAAAAAAGAAGAGAUCACAAAGGAGGAAGAACGAGAGAAAAAAUUUUCUAGAAGGCUAAAUCACAGUCCUCCUCAGUCAAGCUCCCGAUACAGAGAAAAUAGAAGUCGUGAUGAGAGGAAAAAAGAUGAUCGUUCUCGCAAAAGAGAUUAUGAUCGAAACCCUCCCCGAAGAGAUUCAUACAGAGACCGGUACAAUAGAAGACGAGGACGAAGUCGCAGUUACAGCAGGAGUCGGAGUCGGAGUUGGAGUAAAGAGAGGCUUCGUGACAGGGAUAGAGAUAGAAGCAGGACUAGAAGCAGAAGCAGAACACGAAGCAGGGAAAGGGAUCUGGUAAAACCUAAAUAUGACCUGGAUAGAACAGAUCCACUAGAAAAUAAUUAUACUCCAGUCUCUUCGGUACCUAACAUUUCAUCUGGCCACUAUCCUGUACCUACUCUGAGCAGCACUAUUACAGUAAUCGCUCCUACUCAUCAUGGUAAUAACACUACCGAAAGUUGGUCUGAAUUUCAUGAAGACCAGGUGGACCAUAACUCUUACGUAAGACCACCAAUGCCAAAGAAACGGUGUAGAGACUAUGAUGAAAAAGGUUUUUGUAUGAGAGGAGACAUGUGUCCUUUUGAUCAUGGAAGUGAUCCAGUAGUUGUAGAAGAUGUGAAUCUUCCUGGUAUGCUGCCUUUCCCAGCACAGCCUCCUGUUGUUGAAGGACCACCUCCUCCUGGACUGCCCCCACCUCCACCAAUUCUUACACCCCCACCUGUGAAUCUUAGACCCCCAGUGCCACCUCCAGGUCCAUUACCACCUAGUCUCCCACCUGUCACAGGACCACCACCUCCACUUCCUCCUUUGCAGCCAUCUGGCAUGGAUGCUCCCCCAAACUCUGCAACCAGUUCUGUUCCUACUGUAGUAACAACUGGCAUUCAUCACCAGCCUCCUCCUGCUCCACCGUCUCUUUUUACUGCAGUUUUUGUGUUACCAGAUACAUAUGACACAGAUGGCUACAAUCCUGAAGCUCCCAGCAUAACAAACACUUCCAGACCUAUGUAUAGACAUAGAGUACAUGCACAGAGGCCUAACUUGAUAGGACUAACAUCAGGGGAUAUGGAUUUGCCACCCAGAGAAAAGCCUCCUAAUAAAAGCAGUAUGAGGAUAGUAGUGGAUUCAGAAUCAAGAAAAAGAACGAUUGGUUCUGGGGAGUCUGGAGUUCCUACAAAGAAGAAUUGGUUUGAUAAACCAAAUUUUAAUAGAACAAACAGCCCAGGCUUCCAGAAGAAGGUUCAGUUUGGAAAUGAAAAUACCAAACUUGAACUUAGGAAAGUUCCUCCAGAAUUAAAUAAUAUCAGCAAACUUAAUGAACAUUUUAGUCGAUUUGGAACCUUGGUUAACUUACAGGUUGCCUAUAAUGGUGAUCCCGAAGGUGCCCUUAUCCAAUUUGCAACAUAUGAAGAAGCAAAGAAAGCAAUAUCAAGUACAGAAGCAGUAUUAAACAAUCGCUUUAUCAAGGUUUAUUGGCACAGAGAAGGAAGUGCCCAACAGUUACAAAGUACUUCCCCAAAGCCUUUAGUUCAGCAGCCCAUUUUGCCUGUUGUGAAGCAGUCGGUCAAAGAGCGGUUGGGUCCAGUACCUUCAAGUACUGUUGAACCUGCAGAAGCCCAGAGUGCCAGUUCAGACCUUCCACAGAAUGUAACUAAGUUAUCUGUGAAGGACAGGUUGGGUUUUGUAUCAAAGCCAUCUGUUUCAGCAACUGAAAAGGUGUUGUCUACAUCUACUGGCCUAACAAAAACAGUGUAUAAUCCAGCUGCUUUGAAGGCUGCACAAAAAACCUUACUUGUUUCCACCUCUGCAGUUGAUAAUGAAGCACAGAAGAAAAAACAGGAGGCACUGAAACUUCAGCAGGAUGUAAGGAAAAGAAAACAAGAAAUUUUAGAAAAGCACAUUGAAACACAGAAGAUGUUAAUUUCAAAACUGGAGAAAAACAAAGCAAUGAAGUCUGAAGAUAAAGCAGAAAUAAUGAAAACUUUAGAGGUUUUGACAAAAAAUAUUACCAAGUUGAAAGAUGAAGUCAAAGCUGCUUCUCCUGGACGCUGUCUUCCAAAAAGUAUAAAAACCAAGACUCAGAUGCAGAAGGAAUUGCUUGACACAGAACUGGAUUUAUAUAAGAAGAUGCAGGCUGGAGAAGAAGUCACUGAACUUAGGAGAAAGUACACAGAAUUACAACUCGAAGCUGCAAAACGAGGGAUUCUUGCAUCUGGUCGGGGUAGAGGAAUUCAUUCAAGAGGUCGAGGUGCAGCUCAUGGCCGAGGCAGGGGUCGAGGUCGAGGGCGAGGUGUGCCUGGUCAUGCUGUGGUGGAUCACCGUCCUAGGGCAUUGGAAAUUUCUGCAUUUACGGAGAGUGAUAGAGAAGACCUUCUUCCUCAUUUUGCGCAAUAUGGUGAAAUUGAAGAUUGUCAGAUUGAUGACUCUUCACUUCAUGCAGUAAUUACAUUCAAGACAAGAGCAGAAGCUGAAGCUGCUGCAGUUCAUGGAGCUCGUUUCAAAGGGCAGGAUCUAAAACUGGCAUGGAAUAAACCAAUAGCUAGUAUUUCAGCUGUUGAAACAGAAGAAGUUGAACCCGAUGAAGAGGAAUUUCAGGAAGAGUCUUUGGUGGAUGACUCAUUACUUCAGGAUGAUGAUGAAGAAGAAGAGGACAAUGAAUCUCGUUCUUGGAGAAGAUGAUUUGACUGAUCAUUGAUCUGCAUAUGCUAGAACUCUACCUGUGUUUCAUUAGUAUUAUCUAAUGUACUUUUACAUAUUUGUAAAAACAAUUUUUGGUAAAAUGUGAUGAAGAUGGAUUUCACAAAUAGACAAAAGAGAAGAAAACUACCUUCUGAUCCUGUAUUUUGAAAGAUUGAUGUUUGCAUUUUAUUUCAGUAAACAAUUGCUAAAGACAUCACACUAGAAACAUAUGCAAUGUUUUUAUUACAUACUUCUACUGAACAUUACAGAAUUCUUUGGGUUCUUUGUAAUUUAAUUAAUAGGUCUGAAAACUUAUGACCAAUACUUGUUAUAACUUAGAAGAUUUUGUUUUACUCCAAAUAAGGAAUGAAUUUGCAUUUAAAAUCUUAAUGAAUGUUUUCAGAUAUGAAUAGAUAACAUAGUACUCUAACUAAAGUCUCCAAGUUAUGUAUUCAUAAUAUUACAUAGUAGUAUGCUUAGGCUUUACUAUGUAUUAGGCUUUUGUUGGACUUGUAUAUGUAUUUUACCACAUGGGUUUUAAUGAUAAUGAUGUAUGACUGCUUUACAUAUGAGUCCUUCUGCAUCUGGAUGUUAAAAAUAAAGUGGAAUGGUCUCUUAAAAAGAAAAGAAAAAAAGCAAUUACAAAAAAAAAAAAAAAAAAAAAAAAAAAAAAAAAAAAAAAAAAAAAAAAAAAAAAAAGCCAAGACGAUAUUCUUUGAUUUUAAGAGAAAAAAGAAAAAAAGAAAAAAAAAGGAAAAAAAAUUAAAUAGACCAUUCCAGAUGGUGAUCUACCCCUCCCCCCAAUUAUCACAAAAGGAGCUAUAAUCACUAAUUUAUUCUUAAUAAUAAUGGUAACUGGUACCUUUACAGUAAUGUACAAUCCAGUGUUUAAAAUUUAUACCACUUCAGUUUGGUUUGAUCCUAUAAAUUUUCAACAGAUGUCUUAAAAUUUAAAAGCAGGCUGAUUAGUUUGGAGCCAGACUUCAAGUAGAGCUAACAUUUGGUGAAUAAGAAAACAUCACAUUACAUUUUGGAUGUAUGAAAGAAAACUUGACCAUUUGAAGAUGUAUGAAUAAAGAAAUGUACUAUAGAUACUACUUUAGGAAAACACUGUUUGGUAAGUGUUCCAGUCUGAUAUUUUAAGUGUGCAUUUUCUAUACUUGUAUAAAAAUCUUUGACAUUUGAAACAGUACUGUGAUUUUUAAGUGGAUUCUCUGGCAAGUGAACAUGGUCACGGAAGUUGAUACAGCAGUUUCCAGGAAAUAAAUUCAUUCUUUGUAGAAUGAAGGGGUGGGAGAUUACAUAUUAAUCUUUUUAAAUUUAUCAUUUUGGUUGCAAGUGUUUCUGCCUUUCUUGAGAUUAUAGUAAUAAUAUUAAAAAUCACAAUUUAAAAAAACUACUUUCUUCCAUAUUGGGGUUUUCACAAUCAAAAACUAAUUUUACCACCACCAUAGUCUUCUGCCACUGGAGGAAUUUGUCGAUGCUGUUCUUUUUCUUUAUUUUCCCCCACACUUGGAAUUAAAGUUGUAUGUAUGUUCUUGAUGUAAUACUAUUUCAUAGGAAUGUUUUGGCUUGCAGUUGGAGAAAAUGUAAAUAUUUAAAAUUUCAGAAUCAGAUUUCAGUUCUCAAAAUAGUGACUUUACUCAAAACUUCUUUAUUACACUUAGCUCUAUGAUAUAUUUUUAUGUAGUCUUUUGUGUGUUGACUGUGUGCUAUUCUGAUUCAUUAGGUAAGUUUGUUUUCUUUUCUUUUUAGUAGUCGUGAAAGGUGCCAAAUUGGCAGAGGCUCACGUUUCUUCUCUUUACACCAAACAGAUAGGAAAACUUAGUCCAAUAAAGAUGAAGUGCCUUGCUCAAAUUCAUAACCACAGAGAGAGAUCAUCAUUGCCUGAAUUUAGUUUUGUGACUACAAGAGCAAGACCUGUUCCUGUCUGGAGACGACUGUUAAAAUAAUAUCAUCCUAUCAUUUUCUGUUUGCCCUUUACCAAUUUGAAUAGAAGUUUACAUGUACUAUAAUUAUCAUUUUAUCUUUAUAGUUCUCAAGAGUACAUCUGAGUCCAGAAGUGUAUCUGAAUGUGUGCUCUGUCUGACCUUAUUCUUAAAUGUUUUCUCCCUUUAUAGCCAUUUGUUUUUUAAAUACCUUAAGAAGGAACAAGGCCUCUUAGUUUCCUAAUAUGAAAUUUUCAUUCUCAGCCAAAUUGAGAAUUGUGUCUAGGAAAUAUAUAAAGCCAUGAUACUGUGUUCAUUAGCAUGAACAAUUUAGAAUGAAGAAAAUUAAGAAGUUAAACAUCAGUUUGGUUUUAAUUUUUCUGGGUUUUAGGAUAUAUUUCUGGGAUUAAUACAGCCACUUAAAAUAAUUUUGAGCAGAUGAUAAAGUACUUUUUUAUACACUGUAA